rnacentral:rRNA from 1 species
GACGAACGCUGGCGGCGUGCUUAACACAUGCAAGUCGAACGAAGUGGCGAACGGGUGAGUAACGCGUAAUCAACCUGCCCUUCAGAGGGGGACAACAGGUGGAAACGACUGCUAAUACCGCAUACUGAAGGAGGGGAUUGCGUCUGAUUAGCUAGUUGGAGGGGGAACGGCCCAACAAGGCGAGGAGAAGUAGCCGGGCUGAGAGGAGGACCAGCCACAAUGGAACUGGGACACGGUCCAGACUCCUACGGGAGGCAGCAGUGGGGAAUAUUGCACAAUGGGCGCAAGCCUGACGGAGCAACGCCGCGUGAGUGAUGACGGCCUUCGGGUUGUAAAGCUCUGUUAAUCGGGACGCGGUACCGGAAUAGAAAGCCACGGCUAACUACGUGCCAGCAGCCGCGGUAAUUC